GGUUCCACGGGGUCAGGAGGCUCCAGCUGCUUCUUGGUAGAGGAGCCACGGGUCCCCAGGCUGGAAAUCACGGAACCUAUUAUUUCAGCUCGUGCUCCUUCGCGAUGAGAGAUGCGAGAUCACCUGUGAGGCUGGUGGGCUUAGAGGAGAAAGAAAGAUGGACCAUGUUUGAAAGUCCAGCCUGAGAUACGGACCAGCCCUGCAGGUGGAGAGUCUAUGACACCUGACUUGACAGAGAAGCUUGCUGUGCUCUGGAAAGACAAGGCCAACCUGCUCACCAACCCCAUAGAUGCAUGCAGGUUGCGGGGCAGAGGAGCAGGAAGCCUGCUGUUUCCUCAGUGCUGCGUGGCCAGGACUCACUGCUGUGCUCAGCUCAGGGCCCUACACUGUCUGAAUUCACUCAACAGGAGCAUCUGGUGCUUUGUAGAGGAGCAUAAAGCGGAGAGAAGGGUCCUCCUGUUUGACUCACACGUGCCUACAACAUCUUCAACUGGAGAGGAUGCUUCUUAUGCCACAGAGAGAUGAAUGCUGAUGUGCUGGCAGAGGGGACCUGGUCACACUGAGGUUCAGUCACCAAGGACCCUGCCUCCAACACAUUGACUGAGGGGCCAGGAGAGAUGAUCAUUCACUCCCUUCUUCACCGUUUCCACCAGCUGAUGGUCUCGAACAAACGGGAGCGACACCGCUUUACAUAGCUCUGAUUCAGCCAGCAGGAAUAUGUUCUGAUGGAAUGCUUUCCAUACUUGGAACUUUUUUUUUUUAAGGGAAGGGCUGGAAGAAAAGGAACUAGUGGCUACCAAGAUGGAACAACCUUUUUUUUUUUUUUUUUUUUAAAAAUUAUGUAUUAGAGAAUGAGAAAGAACAUGAGAGCACAAGCGGAGAGUAAGAUAGAGGGCCAGAGGCAGAGGGAGAAGUAGGCUUGAUCCCAGGACCCUGAGAUCAUGACCUGAGCUUAAGGCAGACAACUUAACCAACUGAACCACCUAGGGGUCCCUGGAACUUCUUUUAAAAUGUAUUUUUAAAGGUUCUGGGUCUUUCUAGAUCAUACUUUACAAGUCACUCGUUGGGGCUGGAAUAGGACCAGGUGACUGGGGCAAGAGAUGGCUUCUGUCCUAGCACUUGCCCCAGGCUGAGGGAACACGGCCUCCCUGAUCAGCACUCGGAGGUUCUACAAGGUUGGGGGGGGUGGAAUUAUGGGUAAUUCAAGUUGCAUUGUUUGUUUUUUGUUGUUGGAACUGUAGUUUUUCAACUAUGAACCUACACCUGACAACCAGAAAAAUAAAACAGCCCUGAAGAGUAGUACUUCCUGCAGACAUGG